CACGUAGGGCGCGAGCGUUGUCCGGAAUUAUUGGGCGUAAAGAGCUCGUAGGCGGUGUGUCGCGUCGGCCGUGAAAACCUGCAGCUUAACUGUGGGCUUGCGGUCGAUACGGGCAUCACUGGAGUUCGGCAGGGGAGACUGGAAUUCCUGGUGUAGCGGUGAAAUGCGCAGAUAUCAGGAGGAACACCGGUGGCGAAGGCGGGUCUCUGGGCAGUAACUGACGCUGAGGAGCGAAAGCGUGGGGAGCGAACAGG
rnacentral:rRNA from 1 species